AAAAGGUUGGCGCUAAAAGCAAUGCUGGUUGGUAGCAAAAGAGGUUACACAAAAAUCAAACUCUGAAGACAGAUACUGAACAGUCCAAUUCACCAGGUGUUACAUCUAGUUUCUGAAAGCCGGGGUGGGUGUGGAUUUUCUACCAAAGCCAUGAGACCAAAUAAAAUGGAUGUGCACUUGUCUAAAUUGGAAGGCUACUCUGGGAAGAGCAGACACAGCUGAGAAGCACAGAUGUACAUAUUUUCUCUACAAGAGACCGACUAGAAUUACUUGGAUUGUCUUUCCCUGCCCUAUGACACAAGCUUGGACUUUUGAUUUCUUCAAACCCGAUUCAUUCUACUUUCAUAACUUGUGUUUCUGUCACCAGCACUCCCCCCGCCCCGCCCGCACCCUACACACGGAAUCAUUUACAGAGCUAAGAGACAUAAGGAGCUCAUGAUGACUACAGGAAGAGAAACUAGUGAAACAACUAUUGGGUAACAGGAACACAAGUUGACAAAAGGGAAGAAAAAGAAGAAAUAAUUUAGAGCACAAGACUGAAACAAAUGUUGCUUUUUUAAAAAGCCCUUCUAACAAAGAGCAACAAGAACGUGGGACAGAAGAUUACAGACAUGCAAAUUCAGUUCCUUUAAUGCACACACAGACGCUGCCCUGUUCUCAUCUAUGAAUCAGGGACUGCACCCACACAGAGAGAUGAAAAUGGGGGAAACUCAGUCCUUAAGUAUGCUCCUUGUACUCUACUGUGGGGGCUGAACUGUGCCCAGAGUUUCGUUUCUUAGAGCAGAUUAUAAGUCAUUCCACUUGUGAAACAUUGCUUAAAUUAUCAACAUUAGCUUUGCUUUUCUAACAAUGUGAAACAGUUGUGUAACUUGUGAGUAGCCUCAUUAGUCUGUAUAUAUGCCAA